ensembl:lncRNA
AUUUCUUUUCAUCUAGCUUUUGCCCCAGGGAGUUUUACUCUUCUUACUUUGUAUAUCUUACUUUCACUGCUUCUUGUAUCUGUCUGUCUGUCUGUCAGGCAAUGGUUGCUUGGCUUCUUGCCCCAGGUGUUUUCCUCAUUCUCUCCUCCUCCCCUUGAUCCUAGAGUUCUCCUAUUUAUUCUCUCUGCCCUCCAGCCCCACCUAGCCUUUCUCUGCCUUGCUAUUAGCCAUUCAGCUCUUUAUUAGACCAAUCAGGUGCCUUAGUCAGGUAAAGUGAAUCAGAUGAAACACAUUUUUUCAUAAUCAAACAAAUGCAGUAUAAACAAAUGUAACACACCCUUACACGGUUAAUAUAAUAUUCAGCAGCUUAAAUGUAACACAUCUUUGCCUAGUUAAAAUAAUAUUCUAUAGCAGGUUCCUAGCAUCCAUGUUGGGUGGCCUGUAAGUCUAGCUCCCUCUUCUGGCAUCUGCUGGUACUUGCACCCCCCCACACAUAGCCCCACAUAAAAACACACACAUACACACAUACAUACAUUAAAAAAAUCUUUUAAAAACUCUUAUCAAGGGGCUGGAGAGGUGGGUCAGCACUCGAGAAUACUGCUCUUCUAGAGGACCUGGGUUCAAUCCUCAGCACCCAUAUGGCAGCUCACAACUGUCUGCAACACCCUCUUCUAGCCUCUUUGGGCACCAGGUAUGCACUUGGUGCAAAGAUCUACAUAAAGGAAAGACACUCAUACACAUUAAAAGUGAAACAAGACAAAAAACUCUGCCAACUGUAUCCCUGUGAGUCCCAUUAGCAUCGAAAAACCCAACCGUUAUCAGAGCUGUAAGAAUAGUAGUGAUUUGUGUCCUAGCACUUGGGAGGCUGGGGCAGGUGGAUCUCUGUGAGUUAGAGGCCAGCCUGGACUACAGAGUGAGUUCCAGGACAGACUCCAAAGCUACAGAGAAACCCUGUCUUGAGAAAAAACAAACAAACAAAAACCAAAAACAAACAAAACAAAAAACAAAAACUAGUGAUUUUUUAACUUAAUUUUUAAUUGACAACAAAAAUUUGAAUGUUUUUGAUGAAUAUACUGUUAUAAGGCUAAAUUACACUAGUUCUUACAUCACUUCGCAGGGUUAUUUGUGGUGAGGACAUUUAGUCUUUCGGCAGUUUUCAAGUAUACAGUGCUAUGUUAACUGCCCUUGCCCAUUCCUCCUGACUCUAAUGUUCUAUUUUCUUUGGCUGACUCCUCCCCAUUCCUUUUCCCCCCCUUUCCUCUCCCUUUCUUCCUGACCACACUCAGCUGAUCAAGGCUGUAAAUUUGGAUCACAGUUUGAUCCAAUUCUGCCUAUUAGCUGGCACAUGGUUGGUGACACUCUGAAAGUGUUGGAAGGCUAUAAGACAGUAUAUUUAGUAAAUGUGGACCAUGGUCACUUUUCUGGCAAUUUCUGCUAAUUCCUAGACAUGCAUUGAGCCCCACCUAUACUAGGUUCUGUCUGGCCCCAGAGCAUCCCCUAAGCAGGAGGAUUCCUCUGUUCUUUUCUCUCUGUCCUGGAACUGGGAGAGAGCCUUCUGUGUGGUAAUUGCAACGACUGGGGCAAAUGCCCAGUAUGCCAGGUCCCCAGGCCACUGUCUCUCUCUCCUUUUUCAAUAGCUGGGGGUUGGCAUGAAGGGCAGGGGCCAGAGUAGUGAAGCCUGUUCAGGCUCUGCCAGGGACUGCCGACCCCCUGGGACCUGAGUUGUAAGCAGUAGACAAAAAGCCUAUGACAAAAGGCCUGUGGGAGCCCCGAUGAAUAGAUUAAUGAGAUCUCCAUACGGAGGCCCCACAAUGGGAUUCUCCACUCAGUCCUUUUGUCCCAGGCUGAGAUAAUGGAGCUGGAGGAGGCUUGCCCAGAAGGGGGCAUCAGCCCUCCUCCACUACAGCUGAGCUGAGUGGGGUCCAGACGCCUCUUCUGGACUAUACCCCACCCCCAGUGGGUAAUGGAAUCUGGAGUCAUAGGAUUACUGAGGUCUGAAGGGGCUUAUGGGGAAUGGAGAGAGGUGCUGACACUGUGGUUGCCGUAUGUCCCCAUACAACUCUGUCUAAAUCAUGUCACUUAAUUUCUAAAGGAGCCCUUUAAGAUUUUAGUGAAAUGAUUGGGCUCCUCCCAUGGAGCCAAUAGUUACUGACAGAGUGUAAAGCAUAGAGAGACGAGGCAGCUGGCUGGUGGCCACACAGUGACAGUGUGGGGUCUGCUGGUUAAGCUGUCAAAGCUUGGGCCAGGCCUGGAGCACCGAGAUGGGUGGGGCGUUCUUAGGCAGGGAGGCAGUGCAGGUCUAAGGCUGGUUGUGAAGGCUGAAUCACUUCUUUGCAAUCCUGGACUUUAUUCAAAUGAGGAGUGGGGUUGUAGGAGAAACUUUAUUCUUAUUUCAGUAGUUCUGUAGCCACCGAUUGCCAUAUCCCCCUGUAUGGCAAGAGGGUGCUUUACCCAGAGUCCCAGCUACCAGGGCAAGCCACAAAACCCAAACUAGGGACUAUGGCCAGCUGUGAUCCACAUGCAGUUGUGUGACUAUGUAUUCACAGGGAAAGGGACAGUCUUUUGAGGGCUGCUUGGCCAGGAGGAUACAAAUUCCCCAUGAGGUCUAAAGACCAAAUCCACAGUUCUGGGAGACAGCUAUGUCUACAGGAAAAUACUAAAGCCAUUUUCUUGGGCUGUGACUCCCUCCUCAGGCUGAAGGACAAAAGGGCUUGGAGACAGGCACUGCAGGAAGAUGUCAAGGGCCAGAGUUUUGACUCCAAUCUGUUGUGAAGCAGCUGUGUGAUCUUGGAGAGGACUCAUGCCUUGAUGGAUGCCAGAGGACAGUUUAGGGACCAGCCUUGGGACAUUUUUGCUGUUUAUGGUACAGAGAUAUUGUUAUAUCUCACAGAUCUGCUCUGUGACCUGCCCACACCAGGAAUCCUUGUUCCUUCUGGGAACUGGUGUUUUGCAAAGUGAGUCUGAUCAUACUUCUCUCUUUAUUUGGUGACUGGGAAGCUCAGAACAAAUUAGGGUCCACUUUUUUCUUUUUAACUCCUCCAGUGCUGGUGAUAGAACCCAGGUCCCUGAGCAUGCCAGGCAGUACUUUACCGGCCCUCGGAUAGACUUAAUGAUAUCAGCAUGCUCUGUGCUACCCCAUGAACCUCAACAAACUAUCUGCCCAUUCCAAAGCUUAUGGGGCGAACGGCUCGCUUUGGAUGGAGCAGAUAGGAGUACCUGCCCAGACUCCA